UAUUAUUUAAAAGAUAAUUUAUUUUGUUGUUCACAGACUUCUAUUAAAUCAUUCGAUUAGGUAUUUGAAAUUUGAACAAAAAUACAGACUAUACAUUCGUACAGUGUUGUAUUCAUACGUUUUAGUAAAAAAUUGCCAUGCAUAAGUAUAUUAUGUCAGAUGAAGCCAUACAAUAUUGGAGCUAAUUAUGAAACUUAAAGAGUUUACACACAUAUUUUGCCUGUGUCUUGUUCUAAACAAUUGGAUCAAAAGCCACUUCCAGCUGUUAUUACACAUAUAAUUUGUGAAGUCAUAACUAUCGUACAAGAUUUUUUGACAAACGCUUCACUUGUCAAAAUGGUACGCAUGAGCUGUGAAUAAAUAUAUAUUGAAGAUGUUGCUGAUACGAUGUUAAAACAAUCGGGGUGUCCUAUAUACAUACAAAUGCAGUUUACUGGUCAUCAAACCUGUUCCCAUUCAUGGAACUUACUUCUCAACAAGGAAAGACUAACUACUUUGAAAGAAAACUAUGCAAACACCAAUUACCUUCAGUUGCACUCUGAAUCAUAAUUGUGAAUAAAAUUAUUUGUCAAAGACUUAUUUAUAAUUAUAAGAAAACUCUAUUUUUUAAUUUUAUAAUUGAA